rnacentral:lncRNA from 1 species
CCUACUACUACAAAAAAGAAACCCAUCAUCAAAGAAAUAAAUUAAAACAGGAUUGAAUAUAGAGGUGCGAAAUUGAUCAAUAUUAUUUAAUGGUCCCACAUGAAAAUAGCCUUUCCAGCAAGUCCAUUCAAUUUUCACAAGACAUCCAACCAUAUCCUCAAGGAUGACCUCCCACCACACAAUCCUUGUACCACCUUAUCUCAUAUAUAGAUAGGAAUGAUCAACACUUACAGAAGUAUAUAUUAAGCAAGCAUGAACAGUAAGUAAAUAUAAAGCUGAAAGCAAAGAGCAUAGGUAUUAUUAAAAGUGGUGGCGUUUACAUGGCCACCAACGAUUAAAACAUCCGACGAUGAUGAUACACCAUAUCCUCAUACAAUAUUCCAUUGCAUUACUCCAUCGGAGACUUCGAAUAAGCAAAGAAAAAACAAAAAACAGACACAAAAAAUAAAAUUCCACAAGGGUCCUAAACAUGAGAGUGAAAAAACAUGGACAUCAAAUAUUGCGGAAACAGGAUCAGCUGGGCUUGUAGGCAAUGAAAGCGAUGCAUUGCACUUGGCGGUUAUUGUCGAAUCCGAUGAUUCGGAUGUGGGCGUCAGGGUACGCGGUCCUGGCUUCUUGCACCUCCUUAAUCACCUGGGCUGAGUCAGUGCACCCGAACAUGGGCAGCUUCCACAUGGUCCAGUACCUUCCGUCGUAGUAUCCUGGCGAUCUGUUGUGCUCUCUGUGGGGGUAUGGGUACUGCAUUCACAUACAAAAUAAUAAUCCAAUUAUUCUACAAAUUAAACCUCUAUAAUCCUAGUUUAAAAGCUUCACAGAAAAGUUCAUGAAAAUAACCAGCUUGGUGAAUUCCAAGCAAGGAAUCCAUUUCAUGCGGAGAAGGUAAUCCACUUCCUUGCAUAGCUGUUCGUCGUUGAGGGGUGGGAGGUAUGAGAGAGUCUCGAACUUCAUCAACCCUUCUGUAGGCCAAACCUGUGGUUUUCACAUGUACAAUAUCCACAGUUUAAUUCAUCAUAUAUAAAAAAAUAAAAAAUAAAAAAAACCCAGACUACUAAUGUCUUCUAAUUGAAGUGAAGUUGUGACUUGUGAGGCAGGGUGGUGGCAGUACCUUCAUGCAGCGAACUCGGCCACCAUUGCUAGCGACGGAGGUGAUGUCGGUGUUGGCUUUUCGGGUGCCAGGGAAAGUCGACAAAGAUUUGAGUCCGGUGAAGGGGGCCACCAUGUUGGCCUGAGCCGGGGUAGCACGGUUGAUUGUAGCCACGGUGGCGGAGGAGACCAUGGAGGAAGCCAUUUUCGCCUUUUGGGUUUUGCUAACACCACCACUGCCUUGUGAGUUAUGGCUCCUGCUUACCCCAUCCUAUAUAUAAUCCUCCGAGCUUUACUCUCUUCUCUAACUGGCCUCACAUUUGCAUCCAAGGGCUGAGGGUCGAGGGGUCUGGGGUUGGAGGCCUUUGGGCCGUUGGAUGAUACCAGGGGAUGACAUGAAAAUUUCGAUGGCCACAUAUCAGAAUUGGAUGGGUGCCUUAUCGUUAUGGCACCCCUCUCGGAGUGUCGACACGUGUCGACACCUCAUUAACCUUAUCUAACGUUGUGAAGAAGGUGAUUGUGUGAUGUUUUCUGGCCCUUCGUUUCUGGGGUGACUGCCGCUCUUCGCCCAUGGAUAUUUGGAGUUUUGUUCAAUUACCUAAUUGCCCAUCUGGGAUUUUUUUUCAAAUAUUAUUUUUUUAUUAUUAUUAUCAUGUUUUUUUUAAGUGAUGCGAUGAGGUAUGGAGGUACCAUGAUAAGUAAUGGUGUGACUGCAAGCCAUCAGAUCAGAGGGUCCCCCACUUGGAAUAUUGCUCCAAUUCUACGACUAGGUGACUAACACUCAGCAGCCCUUUAAGCGGAGGAAGAAAUGUGACAGUUUCUAUAAGUGGAGGAAGUCUGAAUUCUGAAAGGCAUCGAUAAGGCCUUAAAACGUAUCUAUUGAAGGCAUAAAUCACUAUGUUCUCUUUUGGCUUACCCCAAAAAAAAACACACAUUCCCUGAUUCAUGUAUUCUUACUUCUCAAAGUCCUCAUUUUGGACUAUUUUACAGGCUUUCUUCCUAGAAUUUCAAAUUCAAAUUCAAAUUCAAAUUCAAGAUCAUAAAGAAGCCUCCACCACUCAAGGUUUAUCUUCUCUCCUAAAGGGAGAUGAUAUUUUGCCAUACAAAGGUUUCAGGACCUCCAAAAGAAAACGGUACUAAUUUUGUGUAAUUUCAGUAUGCUUAUGAGUUACGACUCAACUCAAGUCCCGGUUGGUGAGCAUCACUUCUAAAAAUGUAGUGUUGGGUCAAUUUGUUAGGUGGACCAUCACUUCUCCACAGAAACUUCUAGCUCUUCUCUGCACUUGUGGCCUCUAUUCUUUCAUAUAAGAUGUAAAUAUUCUCACUAAAUAAACCCAAAAGAAAAAAGAGAGAAAAAAGAUUGGUGGAGGUUGUUUUGGAGGAGGGAUCCCUGUGAUCCACAUGUAACAAUCAAGGUUUCCAUUCAAGUUGAUGGAUAGGCCUGUGUGCUAUAACAAAAUCUUGUGCAACUCCACCACAAAUUCUCCAAAUCAAAUCCCACUGUCAAGCCAAGCAACAUGCUCCAGAAAGCGAAUUCUGAAACCUUUUCUAGAUCAGUGACAACAGAUGUGUUUGUGUUUCUUGUUUCAAUGGAGAAGCCAAAGCCUCUUUAAGACGUAUUAGUGCUGUGACAGGAAAAAUAAACUCAUGUUUUGAUCUUGUAGAAGAGAUUGAAAAUGCAUGAUGUAUUGUUUAUAAUGCUGGUGUAAAUAAUGAAACUGUUAGAAAGGGAUUGUAGGGAAAUUGCUUGUGUUGAAGAUGAUCCUUUGAAAUCAUAGUUUCUGCCUUACCUUCAGCUUCAGGCUAAACCCACAGGCAAAAAUGGCAAGAGGAACCUUCUAACACUCAUUUUCUCCCAUCUGCAUUGGGAGGGUAAUACCAAAAACUAAUUUAUGCGGAUUAAGACUGAUUGCGAGAGGAAUAUGACAUUCAACAGGGAAUACAAAAAUCAUAAACUGAAAAGUUUGUUUAUUAAAUCCAAUUAAAUAUGACAUUGCCCACCACGAAAAGCAGUGGAAUACGAAGAAUGACUUCCAAUAGAGGAGCUUCUGUACAGUUAUAAGCAGGAAAAAAAGAAAGAAAAGAGAAAAGAAUUACAUGGAAGUAGUGAAGUACAAACUGCAUAACCAGGAAAAAAUAUGCAACUGACUUCCUUCUAAUUUACUGCCAUCGCCUAGGAGGCUUGGUGAAAGUAGAGCUUCCAGUGCCACUGAUAGUAGCACUUCUUCUCAUUCCUGAGAAGAGCAGUUACAGGGAAAGAUAAGAGAUUGAAGGAAUAUUAUUAGCAAGUAGCAAUUGAUCCCAAAAACUCUAAUAUUUUACAUACCUGUUGCCGCCUUUGGAGAAUCCUUAAGAUGUGAUGGUGGAGGAGAUGAAGUUCGCAAUGUUCUUUGCGGUGGUCUUGUUAUUCUAGAGGCUGGUUUAGACCUGUACAAAAUAAUUUUAGUUCAGGUUUUGGACUUGGAUUCAAUUCCAUCAGUAUACAAGUCCAUAUCAAAAAGCCCCAAAAGUAAUCUCUACAUAUAGACAAAAUCAAGCAACAAAAUGCAGUAGGCUGCUGCUUUGGACUAGCUCAUUACAAGAACAGAAAAUUAUUUCACCCAAGUCAGGGGUAAAGAAUGGUUUGAUAUCUCAUGAUGGGAGAAUUAGUACCCACAUUGGUCAAGGUCCCAAGUUGAAGGGAGACAUAAAAUGGAUAUUACCACAGCAAAUUAUCAACACAACCAUUACUUUCCAAAAAAAGAUUUUGCAUAAAUAAAAUGAAUUAAAUGUAGUAGCAGACCAACUGAUAGAGCAUUCAGUUUUUUAAUAAUGAAGAAAAUUAAAACAGAAAAUUCAAGCUCUCUUUUGCAAUUUUCAUAUGUUUUACUCACAGAUGAAUCUUUGUAUCAACACCCAAAGACUGAAGUAAAGAAGAAAAAUACUCACUUCUCUGUGGUCUCUGAUGCUUUAGAUUGAGCAGGGCCAUUAUUUUCUGUUCGCAUAGGAAAACCACCAUCAGAUGUAUCACUUGAUCUCUCGUCACAAUCUGUCUCCCCAAAUCCUAAGGUCGAAGCAUCUGCAGGAUUAUUCUGACCUAUGUCCCCACCGGCAAGCUUUGAUUUCCGAAGGGAUUCAUUUGGUUGUUUAAAGUCUUCCAUGGACUGCUGGGAAUCAGCAUCAGAAUGCUUAUCACUGUAUUCUGAACUGUUGUCCUGAUCAGAAGCUGCUCUCUCAGCUGGUCCUAAGCCUUUCCCACCUGGUAGUUUCUGGCUUAGUUGAGCAGUCCCACCCACGAAAUUCCUGCUUGGUGGGGAAGAUCCAUACUUAAACGAACCUGUAACACUUCUCUCACAGUUGAGACCAGGAUGUACAUUUUUGAGAUCUUUAAGUAGUUGCAACCGUUCGAUCUCCUCAUCUUUUUUGGCAAUUGUGUCUUUGAGAGAUGCCACCUGCAGGAUCAAUAAGGUAUUUAGAAAACAAGGAACUACCAGUGCCUUGAAAGAUGAUUACUAGUUUUGAUGUUUAACUAAAAUUGAAAUGAGUAAACAAGCAGGUAUAUUCGGUAUGAAAAGACCUAGAUGGAAAUCAGAUGAUAGAAAAUCCACCUUUUCACAUGUGCACAUAUAUCAGUAAUCAAUCAAAAAGGAGUUCUAAUGUAUAUAAACAAAAGAACAGGGUACAGUGUAUUGCAAGAGCACAGUACAGGGCGUUCAAGACCGUCUUUGAAUGCACCUCAAUAUGAUCACUAGACUCCAAAGCUCAAGAAAAAUGGUGUCCCUCCUCUUAAGCAUAUAGCUCCAGUUAAGUGAUAAAUAGAAAAAUGCAAAAAGCACAUACCUCUCCCAAGUGUUUUCAAAUAUCUCUUUCUUUUCAUCUCCAAGUGUUCCUAUAUUCCUUCUUGUUUUGUGUAUGUACCAUGUAUACACAUAAAGAUAUAUUUGUGUAUUCUGUUUUCAAAACCAAAAGCCAAAAACAUUAUCCCCUCAUUUCCUUAUAGCAAAGGGUCAAUAAUCUCGAACUUAUUUUUUCACCUUCUAAAACAUUGGUGUGGAGGUGACAAAAGCAGGGUCCACAAGGACUCAUUUGUAAAGCAAAUCAAUUAUCUAUGACAAUUUUCCUCCUAGUAAAUUGUUGUUGAACAUAUGAAAGCAGUAGCCCCUAGAAAUCAACUGAUAUUUUAUGUAACCAUGUGACCCGACAACUAGAGGAGUAAGAUCUCAUACAUCCUCAGCAAUUAUUUUGAGAUGAAUGUCUGGAAUUAAAACACAGUCCCUAUUCUGAACGUAAGCUGAAUUGGAUAAUAACUGAAAGAUUGAUUGAUCGCUCUGCAAGUUAAGAAAGAGCAAGGGAAAAGGAAAACAAAAAAAAGAAAAAAAAGAUCUUGAGGUCCACUGAGAAAUUAGACCUACUCAACUACUUGAGUAAACCUUAUAUAUUUCUAUAGUGCUUGCAAUACGUCUUGAAAAGCAUAAAAUUCUAUUUAGCACCAUGGCUAGUAAAUAUUCAACAAACUGCUACUUAAAUGAAUAUGAGAACCUGAUCCAUUAAUUCCUUAACGUCCCUGCCCUCUUUGCUACUCCGUGCAGCACCUAGCUCGACUCCAGAAACCCUCUCAGCAAAUUUCAAAGUACUUGCAGUUUCAGAAAAUGAAUUCACAUCAGGAUUAAGCUGCACAAACAUAAGAGUCUUUGCUUGACCACCUGUAGUUUAUAAAGUAGAAAAUAAAAAUCCGCUAUAUGAAGUUCAAAAAGAGGACUAUUGGGAGCUAAGGAAAUAAUUUAGAGUCCUGACGAAACAAUAAGACAGGUGAAGGGAUUUAUUGCUAAAAGCAACUGGAAAACAGUGAAGUACCAAGAGAACUCUGAAGGACUUGAGUAAGCUUGCUGUUUCUGUAUGGUACAUGAGAGCUCUUCUGGGCAAGAGCAAAGAUAACAUCUCCAAGGGCAGAUAGCGAUUUGUUUAUAUGUUGUGCUUCCCUAAGUCUCUCUCCAGUUACCUCAGAGCGAUCUACCCUUUCACUUCCUGCAAGAUCCACCAAGUGAAGACUGCCACGCAAAGAAGCACCAGUCUUCAAAUCCGUCCCCCAAGCAUGAAUAGUUACAAUACUGCAAUAACACAUCUAAGUGAAGAUCAUAACAUGUAGAACAUAUACAGUCUGAAGAUGGUAAUAUCUAAAAAUGAAAUGACAACCUGUGGGAGCGGCUACUUCUUUCAUUCAUAGCAGUGGCACCUACAGAUCUAUUCUUUUGUCCAAUGUCCAUUAAUUCCAUUACAUCUGAGGUUGAUUUGACUGGGAGCAUGGUAGCAUCAGGAACAGCUAACCCAUGGGGCUGAGAGGUAGUCAAAAUCCCAAGUGUGUGCAAAUUAAGGAAAACAAAGGAUUUCAUGCCAAAACACAUGAAAACUAUUUUUCACUUAAUCAAACCCAAGAAGAAAAAGGCCAAGAUGCAGAAUUAACAAAGAUUUCAAAGAGAAUUAUACCACACCAGACAGAUAAAUCUGGAAAAAUCUAGAAAUGUAACUGGAAGAUUAUAGAGAAAUGUUUUAUGACAGUUAUCUGUCAGACAAAAACUAGUCAAUGGAUUAGGCAGAACAACUCAAAGCGAAAACAGAAGAUGAAAAUGAAUAGAGAAGGAUAUCCUUUUUACAUCUUUAUGCCAAAGAAUGAAAAUGAAUAGAGAAGGAUAUUUUUUUUGAGAACUAUCACUUGAUAGUAAAUCACGCACUUGUUCAUUGUAUAUUUCAACCAUUUGAACUCCAAUUUCAUACAUAAAUGAGCUUCUCCUGCUUUGAGUGAUCUCAAAGAGGUCACUUAGUGCACGAUAAUUGACACCCCAUUCCUCCUUGGAUGCUGCAUUGGGGCCAGUCUAGAGGAAAGACAAUACAUUACACAAGUUUUUAUUGAAAAUAUCAACACAUAUGCCAUGUAGACUAAAACAUAUACAAGUUCAUACCAUUGUGUAUGUCUUGCCCGAACCAGUUUGACCAUAAGCAAAUAUACAUACAUUAUAGCCAUCAAGAACAGAUCGUACCAAGGGUUGAGUGUCAGAAAACACCUCAGCUACAAACAUUUUCCAAGCAUAAUAUGAGUCAAGCAUUAUAAUGAUUUCUUGAAAGAGAUCUAUUCAAGGAUCCAAAUUAUAAAAUAUAAGGAUGAAAAACCUUGAGUAGCAGCUGGGCCAUAGACCUUAUUGAAUUUGAACAACCGAUGACUGUCUUUUCCUUGUUUUGAGGGAUUCACAAUACCGAGCUCCCCAUCUUCACCAAUAUAUUCUAUGGUUGUCUGCUUUCCAUUCUGCCCACGGAGAAAUGGCCUUAUCCGGCAAUACACCCUAAUGUUUCCUAUCCAAGAAAUACAUGCAUCAGCCAAAAGAUGCAUUCAUAUAAAACUAGUCGUGAUUCCAACAGAGUUAAAUUGGGCAUGGAACCUUUUAAAUCUUGAACCUCAUUAUAAAGUCUCCUAUUUUCAGCAAGAACUGCAUGAUAGUUUUCAGAGGCAUCUACUAAUGCUUUUAGCUUUACUCCUGAACAACAGAAAAAUCGAUCUAUGAGAACAUGCUACAUAAAUUUAUAUAGAAUCAGGAGAACUUUGUAGUAACCAACCUCACCUAAGCAUUUAAAAUCCUCUGAAUAGCUCUUCUGUGUUUCCAAUACUUCUUUCUUGAUGGACUCGGAAGUGGACCUCAAUCCCUGAUUGUUUAUUCAAAGUUCCAGUAUAAAACAUGAGCAUUAAAUAGUAUAGUUUGAAAGGUCAAGAUCAAUUUGGUUAAAGCGGACCUGCAAGGCACUGAAUAGAAAAUUCACAAGUCUCAGGUAGCUUUGCUCUUUCUUAUCCCACCUUUGGCCUUCUAACCCAGAAUAAGCCUCAAGUUUAUUUAUCUUAUUCCUUGAAUCGGCUAGGAGCUGCUCAAGUUCCCUUGACCUCUUCUCAAACUCUGCUUUAUCUCCCAUACCUUGCUUUUCCAUUUCUGAGAAAUGUUCUUCAUAUGUCUUCCUGGCUAUUUCCAGUUCUUGCUUCAGAGCAGUAAUUUCGAUAUUAUUUUGAUCCUUCUCUUUGUUGGCUAUUUCAAGUUCUUGCUUCAAAGCUGAAAUUUCAAUGCCACUUUGAUCCUUCUUCUUCUUGGCCAUUUCCAGUUCUUGCCUCAGAACCAAAAUUUUAGAAUCAUUUGGAUCCUUCUCUUUCUUCCUUGCUAUUUCCAGUUCUUGCUUUAAAGCUGAAAGUUCCAGAUGGUAUUGCUCCUUCUCUUUCUUCCGGGCCAUUUCCAUUUCUUGCUUCAGAGAAGAAAUUUCAAGAUUUGUGUCAUCCUUCUCUUUUAUCAGUCUAGCCAUAUCCUCCUCAAGCUUCUUCUUGUCUUCCACAUUGGCCUUUUUAGUCUGAAAUAAAAAGAAAUAAAAUUAAAGACUUCAAAGGUAUCCAUACAACCAAGAAAGCAAUAUUAUUUUUUCUCAGGCAAACAAAAUAUGCACCAUGUCAUCUCAAGCAACUGAUCAACAAUUGCAGCAAAUUAAGAAUAGAAUCAAUUGUGAAUACGCCUUCCACUUCCAUCAUGAAAGGAGAAAUUUGAUAUAUCAGUGGGCAGUCAAACCUCACUAUUUCCAUCCUCAUCUUUAACAUCAUUUAACUUUUGAUUCUUAAUGAACACAAAUCAAGGAUAUCAAACAUAUUAAAGUGGUUGAAAAUUGUGAAAAGAAACACCAGAAUCCAGUAAAUGAAGGAAGAAGCAUUGAGGGAAGGAGAGGAUACCACAGGACUCAAGAUUUUUUUUUUUUUUAUAACCGAAGAACCUUCCAUGGCUAAGCCCUUAGGACUCUCCAUGGGAACUCAAACCUCGGGGUGCUAACCACCCCACAACAACCAGCACCGGGUAAAUUCAGAGUAUCAUCCAUAGUAGGAUUCAAACCCAGGACCAUGUGCAACUUACUAGGACCACACUUCCCAAUGUUCGCCCUAACCAACUAGGCUAUCCUGGCAGGGACCAUAGGACUCACAUAUCUGGCUGCACAUGUUUUCAUGUAAUGUUAACUAAAAUUUUACUAAAUCUUAGACUACCUAAAAGUUGUUUUAUGAAUCCUUUGUUUUAGGUGCAACAAAUUGAACAAUUAUGGGAAGCAAAAAGCAAAAAAUACACAUCGGUAUAUUUUGGAACAGAGAAUAGUCCCUAAAGGAUAUCAGAUACAGGAUGUUUGAAGUAAAAGAUGAAUAACAUAAAAGAGACUUUCUAAUAUCUCAAUUAAGAAAAAUGCUCACAGAUUAUAGCCAUACCUUUAUCUGCUGGAGAUGAUUCAAUACAAUCUGCAGCAAAUAAUUUCAUUUGGUGAAUCCAGUAGUUGUACCAAAUAAACAAAAAGGCAAACCUGACAAUUUAGAAUCUUUCAAUACAACAUAUUUGAAGUACCUGGUUUUCAUCAUUAGUCCCAGUUGCAAGGGUUUCAAGUACUCUGAUUCUCGACUGGUAUUUCUCUUCCCGAGACUUAAAGAGAUUGUUUUGCUGCAGGCACAAACCAAUAGAAAAGAAUUGAUAUGGACUAGACAAUAAAAACCAAUAAAAGAAACAAAGUAAGUAUAUUACAGUUCUUAAGUGUUCUGCUUGAGUUGAUAUUCGCCGCUCAAUUUCCUGCACAACUUUUCUCAAUAGACAUGCCACACGCUGAGGAAAAAAAAACAAAAAAUAAAAAGCAUCCUCAGAUAAGUUUUUUAGCAUUAAAAAUGCAUUUAUAUUAUCAAUAUAUAUAUAUAUAUAUAUAUAUGCCUUAAUUUAACACCAGUUGCCCUCUCAUUGCCAUACGUGAGGUAUCUCUUCAUUCUUCCUUUCAACGCUUUCAUCUAGAAUUCCAUUCACAACACUCAAAAGUGACUGAGUUGGGGCAUUCUGCAAAAAUGAGAUGCUUGAAUGCAUUAAAGAAGCAUAAAACUGAAAAGACCACCUAAAAAAUCCUAAAUCUUGCCCAAUUAUGUCCAUUGACAACAUAAGGUGCCAUAUGACUUACAUCUAAACUGUUAGAUUUCAUCAUUUCUGUAAGCUUAGCAGCAGGAAUAUCCGCAUAGCGUCCUUGUUUCAGUUGAAACACCUCAUGGAACUUGUGUCCCACAUGAUAUAUUAAUGCAGCUGAUGGCUCUACAAAAAGGGGAAAAAGUAAGAUAACAACACUACGUCCAAAUAAAAUUAUCAUUAUUGAAGAGCAUCUGCUAGUUUUGUGUUGUUAGAAUACAAAAAAACUAUCCACUGUCUCAAUAUAGCAGAUCUCACUUCACAACUUCACUAUGGAUAAAAGCUGUUAUCAUAUAUUCAUAUGGCUGCAUUAGAACAGACAAGCACAUAGAGGAAUAGAGUACAAAAAAACCAUACCAGACUUGACAGGACUACGCAAAGCACGUUGAAAUUUGGAUUCUGAAAAACUCUUUUGCCUGUCUUCUCCACAUGGUGUAGGCCCACGCGAAGGAUCAUCCACUUGAGGACCAAUGUUUCCAGAUUUAGAAAAUGAACUACUGAAUGGAAAAUUAUUUCCACAUACAGUUGGUAUAGUGUGUGCUUUAAGUGUUAAAAUGCACUCCAAAACAGUCUUCAUAGAUCCCUGCAACAUAAAAUCAACAUUAUGAUAAAUGCCGAGAGCUCUGGUGAUGCUAAGAAAACAUAUACUCAAAUUCAUUUGAGCAAAUUAAUCAAAAAAAAAUUUGAAAUUCACUACUUCAACUUUGAGAUGUUUGCAAAUUGCUAAGAAAAUAAAUGUAAAUAAACCUACAAUGACUUCAGUGGGAGUACUACUAGUUUGUGUACAUAAUGGAUAGUAAUUCUUAUAAACAAUUGAUAGUAGGUCAUGAAAACAAUUGAUACCUUUUCCAGGUCUGCAAUUUCAAACCCGGGCAUCCCUAAUGCGUCCAAAGCCUCCAGAAACUUUUUAACAUUUUCAUAGCGCAUCCCAGAAGAAUGAUCAUAAUCACGCACCUAAAGUAAAAAAAAAAUGCACAUCAAAACAACAAUUCUAACAUCCAGAGAUGAAAUUCAACACUAACUGCAUCUAAAUGAACAAACCUCACUCACAGAACCAGGUCUCAGUCUGUUCAAAAACCGACAUAAAACAGCACCAUCAAUCAAGCAGGCCCUCAAUUCCUCUACUGAAGCUUUUACUGGCAAAUUUAAAUUAGGAAGCAUGGAAUUUAACCACUCCGCCACAAUGGCUCGCUUCUUGUCUGCAUAAAAGGGAAUGAAAUAAAUACAAAGUUCAGUAAAUUAAGAUGGGAAAAACAAAGGAAGAGAGGAGCAAAAUCACCCUUUCUUCACCUUUAUCAUCAGCAUUAUGAGUUGCCAUUGGUUCAAAAACAUCCCCAUUACCAGAUACUCUGAAACUGCCAAUUCCCCCAUAUUUCUUUGCGUUGUAAUCCAAUGUAGAGUCCAUGAUGAAAUACAAGGGAAGACAUCUAGCUUCAAAGCUCAAAACCUCAAACUACGAAAAAUAAGAAAAAAACCCCCCAGAUUGUUUCAAUAAAAUCCAAAGAAAUCAUUUGCAGGAAGAAGGGAACAAAAAGUUUAUUUAUCUCCAGACUUCCCCAGAAAUGCAACAAUCCUGAAAAGUUAUUAAAAAAAAAAUGUAAUCAUCACCACAACUUUAUUUCACAUUCCCUCAUCAACUCAAUACAUUAAACGAUGUUAUGCAUUAAACCCAUGGUUCAUGCCUGGUAAUGGCAUUAUUUUAAUUUCCAAAGGCAAGAGAAUCAAAUGCUUCUUUUGCAUGGUGAGCACGUAACACAACCCAUUACCAAACACCAACCAACCAUUAAGUCAGAGCUCAAACUCUGACUGGUAGGGAGCCCAAGCAGAAAACGGAAAUACAAAUAUAUUCACCUGCAUGGGUGGAAAAUGAGAGAGACCCAACUCAGAAAAGAUUUCAGCGAUGGCCCCUGGGCUCCUCCUCCAUCUGGUGUAGCUUCAAAAGUUUCAUUGGCAACAAGGAUUUCAAGGAAGAGAAGAGAGGAGAGAAAAUGGUGGAAACAAGAGAAGAAAAAAAGUUUGGAAAAGGCAUAAUGAAUGAAUAAAUAUUACAGAGAGAGGGAAGAAGAUCGAUGGACGGCCGGCCGUUUAAUCCUGGUCAAUCGUGGUUGAAAUGUGUUGAAAUUCAUACGUGGCCACGUACUAUACGGCAAUUAUAUAUUUUUUUUUUAAAUGUAAUAUUAAUAUUUUGAAAGAAAUAUAUUAAUAAAUAAUAAUAAGAUUAUGUUUAAUAUUUGAAUUUAAAACUUAGAGUGUUGAUUUUUGAAAACGUUUCUAGUUUUUUAAUAUUUUAAUAAUAAAAAUUUUAAAAUGUCAUAAAAUCAUUAUUAAACAGGUUCUUAAUUAAGUGAUUAGAGGAGUAUUAAAGGGACUUAAUUUAUUUUGUUGGUUAUAAUUAUUUUUAUAAUAAAAAAUAAUUUAAAAUUUGCCUAGACCAACCAAACUUAACCAAGAUCUAAUUUAAUGUUUUAUAAAUUUUACAAUAUAUUAUUAUUUAUAAUUAUAUAUUUUCAAAUAAUUAUAAAAGAAAAAUGUCAAUUUAAUUGUAUUAUGUAUUAUUUUAUUUUUUUUAAUAAAAAUAAAUUCAUUUUGCAUUUUUAUUAUUCUUAAAAAUAAUGUGUCAUUUGAUAUGAAGUGUAUCAAAAAUAAAAUCAAAAUACUAUCACUAAGUGGAAUUUUCUUUUUUUCCUUUUUUCUUUUACUUUUUUUUUUCUUUUCUUUUUUUUUUUUUUUUGUUAUCACAACGAAAGCUUUGAUGCAAACAUCGUUAAUCAAGAACAAAAGAUAAAAUAAUCAAUAUAAACAGUACACGAGGUUUUAACAUGGUUCGACCAACCAUGCCUACGUCCACGGAUAAGAUAAUCAUUUCACAAUACAAUAAAUAAUAUUACAUGACAGAACCAGAACAUUAGAGAUGACAUAACUAGAUAUAACUAUUGGGUUCUUCAAACAUGUCAUGUUUCCCCACUCUUUGUAUCUCUACCCUACCAUGAGCUCUAUCGCUUCACCAUGUACCUCUUGUUUUUCCUCAUAUCUCUAUUCACCUCAUAUAGUCUUUACAAACUCAUCUUCAAUUCAUAACUUUUUCUCUUUCAUAACCUAGAAUAUUUAUAGACAUAUUUCCAAUAACCUUUCUUAUUUUACAAGGAAGCCUAAUAUCAACCUAAAAAUAUUCUAUAUAAUAUUUUUUUCUACAAAAGAAGAAUAUAUACUAAUUAGGAAUUUGAGACACUUCUUAACAAUCUCCACAUUGGACCAAAUUCCAUAAAGUCAAUCUUCAAUGGCACAAACUUUUUUUUAUUUUUAUACCACGAGAGAGCAAUCAACUCCACCUUCAUUGAAAAUUUCUUUUGUUUUCAUCUUGUGUACUUUGUGAUCUUUUACUUUUCCAGAAAUCUUUAACCUAAGUUUUGAUACCGGUUUGUUGUGUCGGCGAAAGCUUUGAUGCAAUCAUCGUUAAUCAAUAACACAAAGAUAAAAUAAUCAACACAAACGAUAUACUAGGUUUUAAUGUGGUUCAACCAACCAUGUUUAUAUUGACGUAUAAGAAAUGAUUAUUUCACUAUACAAUAGAGAACAUUACAGAUGAUAAAACUAGAAUAUUAUAGAUGAUAUAACCAAAUACAAUUAUUGGGUUCCUGAAACAUCUUAUAUUUUCCCAUUCUUUGUAUCCCUACUCUACCACAAGUCUUCUCGUUCUAUUGGUACCUCUCGUUCUUCCACACAUUUCCCCUUAUGACCUAAAAUAUUUAUAAAAAUAUUUCCAAAGAACCUUCCUUAUUCUAUAAGGAAAUCUAAUAUUACAAUAAUAUAUUAACCUAAAAGUAUUCUAUAUAAUAUUUUUUUUUACAAAAGAGAAAUAUAUAUUAGGAAUUUAGGACACUUCUUAACAAUAUUAAUUUUAAUAUAACUUGAAUUUACCUUAUGUUUGAAAAUAUGAUAUUAUGAUACUAGAUUAAAAUGAAUUGAAAAAAUAUUUAUUAAUUUAGAUUGGGAUCUUCAAUGCAAACCCAACUUAAUCUAAUCUAAAUUCAACCUUAUAAUAGAAUCAAAUUUAAAUUCAUGAAUUUGAAUAGAAGCUAAACUUAAUAUUAAAUUAAAUUAAAGUUUUAUAAUCCAAGCAAUAUCUUUUGUUUACUUUAUACUCUUAAGAAAACAUUAUUUUUUUUUAUCAACUAAAUUUAUUUUCCUAAUAAGCCAUUUUAAUUUCCACAUUGGACCAUGAAAUAAGAUAAAAAAAAAAAAAAUACUCCUUUACGAUAGGACAUUUUGUUAAAAAAUGGUGGUUGUAAAAAUAAUUUGGGUGUAUAAUAGUUUAAAAAAUAUUUUUAAAUGUAUGGCUAAAAUGCCAAUGAAAAAUCGUGUUUUAAAAAGACAACUUGGCUUACAUCACAUUGAAUUUAUCUUUUGUAAAAACCAUUUCAAUAUAAAUUUUAAAAUUUAAAGUUAAAUUUUUUAAAAUAUAACUUUUAUUCAAUACUUUUUCAACUACUUAUUUUAAAAACAAUUAUGUAAAAAUAUAAUAUUUUUUUCCAAAUCCAUGACGUUUAUAACCACACAAGGAAAAUAAUUUUUUUUUUUAAAUAAUCAUAUCAUCAAUUCAACUAAUUUUUAUAAUAAUUCCUAUAAAUUUUUAUAUUUAAUAAAUAGAAACCAUCUGCUUGCGACGUCAAUAUAGAGCAUGGGAUGUGAAAUCAGUUGAUUGAAGGUUUAUAAUAAUUCUCAUAAAUUUUUAUAUCUAAUAAAUAGAAACCAUCUGUUUGUUCGGAGAAUGGAAUGUAGAAUUCAUCAGCUAUUGAUUGUGGUUAUAAAUUUAUCAGAUAUAUAUUAAGUAGGUCAGUGGGUGCAAAACCCCAACUCAAAACUGGUCUAACAGUCCAAAAAUCCCAAUCUCUUAGACAACCUCUGGCUGUGGGAACCUACAUGA